GACGAACGCUGGCGGCGUGCUUAACACAUGCAAGUCGAACGGAAAGGCCCUGCUUUUGUGGGGUGCUCGAGUGGCGAACGGGUGAGUAACACGUGAGUAACCUGCCCUUGACUUUGGGAUAACUUCAGGAAACUGGGGCUAAUACCGGAUAGGAGCUCCUGCUGCAUGGUGGGGGUUGGAAAGUUUCGGCGGUUGGGGAUGGACUCGCGGCUUAUCAGCUUGUUGGUGGGGUAGUGGCUUACCAAGGCUUUGACGGGUAGCCGGCCUGAGAGGGUGACCGGCCACAUUGGGACUGAGAUACGGCCCAGACUCCUACGGGAGGCAGCAGUGGGGAAUAUUGCACAAUGGGCGGAAGCCUGAUGCAGCAACGCCGCGUGCGGGAUGACGGCCUUCGGGUUGUAAACCGCUUUCGCCUGUGACGAAGCGUGAGUGACGGUAAUGGGUAAAGAAGCACCGGCUAACUACGUGCCAGCAGCCGCGGUGAUACGUAGGGUGCGAGCGUUGUCCGGAUUUAUUGGGCGUAAAGGGCUCGUAGGUGGUUGAUCGCGUCGGAAGUGUAAUCUUGGGGCUUAACCCUGAGCGUGCUUUCGAUACGGGUUGACUUGAGGAAGGUAGGGGAGAAUGGAAUUCCUGGUGGAGCGGUGGAAUGCGCAGAUAUCAGGAGGAACACCAGUGGCGAAGGCGGUUCUCUGGGCCUUUCCUGACGCUGAGGAGCGAAAGCGUGGGGAGCGAACAGGCUUAGAUACCCUGGUAGUCCACGCUGUAAACGGUGGGUACUAGGUGUGGGGUCCAUUCCACGGGUUCCGUGCCGUAGCUAACGCUUUAAGUACCCCGCCUGGGGAGUACGGCCGCAAGGCUAAAACUCAAAGGAAUUGACGGGGCCCCGCACAAGCGGCGGAGCAUGCGGAUUAAUUCGAUGCAACGCGUAGAACCUUACCUGGGUUUGACAUGGAUCGGGAGUGCUCAGAGAUGGGUGUGCCUCUUUUGGGGUCGGUUCACAGGUGGUGCAUGGCUGUCGUCAGCUCGUGUCGUGAGAUGUUGGGUUAAGUCCCGCAACGAGCGCAACCCUUGUUCACUGUUGCCAGCACGUUAUGGUGGGGACUCAGUGGAGACCGCCGGGGUCAACUCGGAGGAAGGUGGGGAAGACGUCAAGUCAUCAUGCCCCUUAUGUCCAGGGCUUCACGCAUGCUACAAUGGCUGGUACAGAGAGUGGCGAGCCUGUGAGGGUGAGCGAAUCUCGGAAAGCCGGUCUCAGUUCGGAUUGGGGUCUGCAACUCGACCUCAUGAAGUCGGAGUCGCUAGUAAUCGCAGAUCAGCAACGCUGCGGUGAAUACGUUCCCGGG
rnacentral:rRNA from 1 species